rnacentral:rRNA from 1 species
AUUGAACGCUGGCGGCAGGCCUAACACAUGCAAGUCGAGCGGAGCGGCGGACGGGUGAGUAAUGCCUAGGAAUCUGCCUGGUAGUGGGGGAUAACGUCCGGAAACGGGCGCUAAUACCGCAUACUUCCAGUUGACCCUAGGUGGGAUUAGCUAGUUGGUGGGUUAAGGGCCUACAAAGGCGACGUGCCGUACUUGGUCUGAGAGGAUGAUCAGUCACACUGGAACUGAGACACGGCCCAGACUCCUACGGGAGGCAGCAGUGGGGAAUAUUGGACAAUGGGCGAAAGCCUGAUCCAGCCAUGCCGCGUGUGUGAAGAAGGUCUUCGGAUUGUAAAGCACUUUAAGUUGGGAGGCGUUACCAACAGAAUAAGCACCGGCUAACUUCGUGCCAGCAGCCGCGGUAAUAC